CGUAAGAUUUUAUAGCCGUGGGUCCUGAGUUUAGUGGCGCAGUAACGUAUAAUAGACCGCCUGGGAGUACGGUCGCAAGAUUAAAACUCAAAUGAAUUGACGGGGGCCCGCACCAGCGGUGGAGCAUGUGGUUUAAUUUGACGCAACGCGAAGAACCUUACCAGGUCUUGACAUCCAGAGAACUUUCCAGAGAUGGAUUGGUGCCUUCGGGAGCUCUGAGACAUGUGCUGCAUGGCCGUCGUCAGCUCGUGUCGUGAGAUGUUGGGCUAAGUCCCGUAACGAGCGCAACCCUUGUCCUUAGUUGCCAGCGCGUAAUGSCGGGAACUCUAAGGAGACUGCCGGUGACAAACCGGAGGAAGGUGGGGACGACGUCAAGUCAUCAUGGCCCUUACGACCUGGGCUACACACGUGCUACAAUGGGCGGUACAAAGGGUUGCCAAACCGCGAGGUGGAGCUAAYCCCAUAAAACCGUUCGUAGUCCGGAUUGGAGUCUGCAACUCGACUCCAUGAAGUCGGAAUCGCUAGAAUCGAGUCAGAAUGCACGG
rnacentral:rRNA from 1 species